rnacentral:rRNA from 1 species
GUGGGGAAUCUUGCGCAAUGGGCGAAAGCCUGACGCAGCCAUGCCGCGUGAAUGAUGAAGGUCUUAGGAUUGUAAAAUUCUUUCACCGGGGACGAUAAUGACGGUACCCGGAGAAGAAGCCCCGGCUAACUCCGUGCCAGCAGCCGCGGUAAUACGGAGGGGGCGAGCGUUGUUCGGAAUCACUGGGCGUAAAGCGUGCGUAGGCGGUUAUACAAGUCAGGAGUGAAAUCCCAGGGCUCAACCUUGGAAUUGCUUUUGAGACUGUAUGACUAGAGAGCUAGAGAGGUAGGGGGAAUUCCGAGUGUAGAGGUGAAAUUCGCAGAUAUUCGGAGGAACACCAGUGGCGUAGGCGCCCAACUGGCUAGAUACUGACGCUGAGGCACGAAAGCGUGGGGAGCAAACAGGAUUAGAUACCCUUGUAGUCC